rnacentral:lncRNA from 1 species
CCAACAAUGCUAGUUAUCACCUACUCCUGUGAACACAACCACCCUUGGCCACCUCCUUCUAGAUCCCACAACCACCAUAAGAACCACCAUAACUCCUCCUCUCCAAAACACAACACUACCACCAAACCCGAAGUCUCCACAACCCAUCCUGAUAACCCAGAGCCUGAGCAUGAAGAAAAGUUCACGGAUCUUGGAAACGACGGGUCACUCAUAUCUACGACUACAACUUCAGAUGAAUUUUCUUGGUUUGGUGAAAUCGAGACAACCUCUUCAACUAUACUUGAGACACCUUUUUUUGCAGAGGGAGAGGCCGAUGCUGACAUGGCAUCAAUGUUUUUCCCGAUGAGAGAUGAGGAUGAGUCGUUGUUUGCCGAUCUUGGAGAGUUGCCGGAGUGCUCGUCGGUGUUCAGGCAUCAGCGUAGUGGUGUUGGACCACAGGUUCAGAUCUGCUGACGACACGUCGUUUAUUAACGUGUUAUAAAAUUGAAAGGUGUGUGUUUGAUAGCACCACGAGAUAACAAAGAAGAGGAAAGAAACAAUCUUUUUUUUCUUUUUCUUUUUCUUUUUCUUUUUAAUAUUCUUCUUUGCCUUGGAUUUCAGUGUAGUAAGUGAAUAAAACUCCAAUUCUGAAAUCUGUCACGAUCCUCUUGUAAUUAACUAAGCAUAAUAUGCCUUCUCAGAAUGGAUUUUCAUUAAUUUACCCAAAAAAACAAAUGGUGUCCCAAUUAAGAGCUUCGUUGAUAGNNNNNNNNNNNNNNNNNNNNNNNNNNNNNNNNNNNNNNNNNNNNNNNNNNNNNNNNNNNNNNNNNNNNNNNNNNNNNNNNNNNNNNNNNNNNNNNNNNNNAUAAUUGACAUUUUGUUUUUCUAUCGCAGUCAAUGGAGUCUAAUUAAUUCUAUGCAAUUAGUCUAUUAAGCACGAUGUGGCAUCUUUCUGAUGAAACGGUGCCACUUAAACAAAGUCUAUAAGAUUGAAAUGGAGGUUCCACUUAAAGCGGCAACGUUGGGAUUAAUUUAAUUAUUUUUUUCCGUCUCAGAGAGAGUCUCUAACGCCAUAUAAUUAUUAUAGAAAUCUCGUCCUUUUCAAUGAAAAUGUGACCGAACACAAAUUCCAAACGUAUGAGACAGCUAUAAAAUAUCUUUAAUGCCCUCGACCAAAAAAUAUUUAUAACCAUAUAAUAUAAAGUUAAUUUACUCUUUUUUUUAUAUUAAUGUGAGUGUUCGAGCUAACUUGUAUACACCUCAACUAAUUACACGGGUCAUGAAGUUAACGACCAUGUAAGUUUUCUGUAACUCUAAAAUUUAUGAAACUCGAAUUAAUAAACCCUAAAAUAUAAAUUUAAAAUCUAACUAGUUGAAAUACAUCUUAGAUAAAAGAUAAUAAUAAAAGUAUCUCUAACCUCUAUCACAGAGAGCUUCUAUAUGGAGAAUAACAUCAAAAUUAAGCUCGGCAGACCCUAGAUGACAUAGUAUUUUUUUUUUUUUUUGGGAAAAGUGAAGAAGAUUAGAUAGAAAUAGGAGGGUGAAGUUUUACUUCGUAACAAGGUUGUUAUAGUUAAAAUAAUUGAUAUUUCUUGUAUUAUUUUAAAAAACAGGACAAAACUGAAUAAAUUUUAUAUCGCUUAACAUCUGCCGGUGAUUCCAAAUGUCUUUAUUAAAUUCAAGAUGCAAUGUUACCGAGGGACAAAAAUUUAUGUAGGUAUUUAUAUUAGCAAUUUGUUGGUACGCAUGUUACCGACGGACUCACAGACAAAAAUAGUCUAUCGGAAAAACUCUCAUCAGUAAUUUAUGGAUUAUUGAUGAGUCCGUCGAUAAGAAAUAUACUGAUGGAUUUACAGACGGACAAAGCACGCCAAAAAAAAGUAUCAUCUUUAUAUAUCUCGUCGGUAUAUCCAUCGGUAAAAAUAACAUAUCACCGAUAGAAUACCACCUGUAAUUUCAUUAGUGCGUUAAUAGUAGUAGUAAAAUUUGUAGUAAUUCUUUUCCAACUUUCUGGAAUAUACCGACGGAGUUGUCUCAUAGGUAACCUCGUCAAUAAUAUUUUAAAAUUAUUUAAAAAAAACAUAUUGAACAGAAGUAGAAAAUAAUUAAAAUAAAUUUAUUUUAUUAUUUUAAAAUAAGUUACUAUAAAAAUAAAGUAUUUAUUACAAAUUUAAACAUUUGAACGUUCAAAUAUAAUAGAUCUAAAAUAGAGGUGGCACUAGAGGAGGAGGAGGUUGGUCGUCACUGGAACCUUCGGGCCACUUAGAGGGUGCACAUGAACCACUCAUCUAUGAUCUCAUCUCCAUUAUCAAUCGGUGGAGUUCUUCAUAAUUAGCAGUGAGUUGUUCAUAUUUAUCAUUAAAAUGGGUCGUUUGAUCCUAUAUCCGUUGGCCUAACAUCACCGCGAACUUUAGAGUUUGAACGCUCGAAAUUGAUUGCGAGCAUCUAACGAUCAAAACACUACUAGUCGUUUGCAAGUUCUCAGUUGUAGUGUUAGAGAAUUCAUACACCCUAUUUCUAUCGGGCCAUCAGAAAAUCCUGCCUCCAACCACAAAUCUGGAUCAAUAUCUAGAUGGAUCGAAGGAUCAUUCCCGUAAUACGCAUCCUAGAAAAAAAAAAUCAUCAAAUUCAAGGAAAUAAUAACUUAAAAAAACAACAAUAAAUAUGUGAAAAAUGAACAAAAACAUGAGGGAAAAAAAAACUUUGCAAGCUGCUAAAAAAAUCAACUAAAAGGUGACGCUGCAUGCAUCCAAGCAUCAACAUGUUUUGUGGCACGUGGACAAGGUGGCAUGCAUCGAUGUCUGAAAAAAAUGGACUAACGCGUUUGUGGGUGAACUAAUCUUGUCUACUUAUUGAUGAAGGCCAUUAUAUUCAUCGUUAACCAAUGACAGAGAUUUAUAUAUGUUUUUCCUCGUGUUAGUUUGCUUAUUUUCUCUCCUUAUUCACCGCGGUUGUGCUAGUGGUGGUUAUUGAGCACACAGCUAUUAUUAGCUUGAGUAAUGGCGGCUAAUAGAUGUUUAUGGGAGGUUUGUUUCUUAGAUUGUUGACUGGAGUUUCUGGUAUGGAGAUGGCAUGAUUUGAGUAGUGUUUCAGGGUUUUUUGGUACUCGCAUUUGGGUUGGAGCAUGAGUGGUUUUGCUGAUGGUGUUUGCUAAGUUGUGUGGCCAAAUUUUGGCUUCUCAUGGGGAGGUUUUAUGGAUGGCAUUUUGGGGGUUUUGGUGGCUUUUUUUUAUUGUUAUUGGUUGUUCGUGAUGGCGCGUUCGGUGGUAGCAUUAAGGGUUCAGGUGGCCGUUGUGACUAAUAUCGGUGGUGGUUAAGGGGCCAGAGCUAAUAGUUCAGGUGCGUUUCAGGAGGGCUGGUGGUGGUGGUUUUGGAUAGGGAGAUGGAAGGUCGUUUUGAGGAUGUGCUGUGGGGUGGAUUAGGAGUGGUUUUGGAGAUGGAUAACUUAUAUAUUAUCUUAUUUGACUACUAGUUAGUACUCAUUGAUGAAAGCGUUGAAUCAUUAAUAUUAAAAUAAAAAUAUAUUUUGCUAGACUUGAUCAAACAUAAAUAAAAUAAUUUAUUAAAAUAGCAAGUGGAUAAUUUUAAGAGUCAGAGGUAUCAAUUUGAUUUGAUUUUUUAUAUUUCUUACCAGUCAGAUCAAUAGUGGCACCACUAGUGGUACCAAUCGGGUUUCAAUGUGUUUGAUGGGGAUUUUACCGAGGUCUUCCAAGAUUAGACAUUUAAAUCAACCUAGUUAACACUAGAUUAUUCAUAGGUGUUAUGUUAUGGGCAAAGUUAAAUUUUCUUCAAUGUAAUUUUUUUUUAAUAUUAUUAAUAUUUCAAUUUUUUUUACUAAAACGAAAUUUAAAUUAUGUUUGAUUGAUUCGAGUAACUCGAAUGAUUUUACAAAUUUAAAAAUAACUUGAAUAUUUUGUAAAAAUAUAAAUUAACUCAGAAAAAAUUUCAAGGUGAAAUCUUUUCUUUUAAUAUUAAAAUAAUAAUAUUUUGAAUUGAUUUAAAUCAACCAGAGUGUUAAUGUCAUAUUUAUAACCCAAUAUUGAAUGAUAACAUUAAAAAAAAAUUCAAUUAAAAAAAUACAAAAAAACAACCUGAGUCAAUUCAGGUUAAUCUAUUAAGCACUAUUUUCGGGUCAUGAGGCCGGAAUAACUCAAUAAAAAGUAAACGAAACAAAUCAUACAAUCUAAUUCCUAAUUAACCCAAUAUUAAAUGAUACAAUUGAAAAACAAAAUUAAAAAAAAUUUUGAGUUAAAUGGAUUAAUCCGUCAAACUCGUGAUUCGUGUUAUGAGUGUGAUAUAACUCAAUAAAAAACAAGUUUAAUAUUAAAAGAUAAAUUUUUUUAAAAAAAAAAAAUCAACAAAGCACUUGUGUAAAUACAAUGAAAAUAGGGUUUUUACCCUAAAUGUUUUAUUGAAUUAUAUAAUAAUAAUAAUAAUAAUAAUAAUAAUAAUAAUAAUAAUAAUAAUAAUAAUAAUAAUUAAAUCACUAAAUUUUGUAUUGGGUCCUCCAGUCCAAUCCCAAUUAAUCCCACACUACUUCAGCGUGAAAAUUGUGUCAAGAUAUCAAAUGCUCUGCUUCAGCCACCUCUGCUUCAGCCACCUGUCAAAGAGAAUAGAGAAUAUAAUGGUUAGCAAGUUUGUUAAUAUGGUUAGGCAGUUAAUGAAUUUUGUUACAGUUGAGUAGAAAACGUAACCAAGCUUCUCAUCUUCUGUUGAUAUAAAAUGCAUGUAACAGUGCUGGGAACGUAUCAAGUGAAUAAAACACAUAGACAUUUUCUUCUUCCUCUGCAUUACAGCAGCAUCUUUCCCUACUUCUAUUUUGCUUCUUGUUCAUCUCUGUAACAAAUCUUGCUAGCUUUCAUGGUAUCAGAGCUUAGGAUUGUUAGUAUCUUGUGAGCUUGUGAUUUCUCCGCUUCUAAUCUCUGUUUCUGGCGUUAUUAUCGCCAUAUUCAACCAAAAAUUCGAUAAUAAUGAUCUGCCUAUCAUCUGUUUGAUAUAUUGUCAAACUGAAAGACUUCUCUUCAAACACUCUUCUCAAACCUGUGAUUCUCUUCCUCUUCCGUUGCUUGAACUUCAAAAAUGGUAACAACUUCUCAACUACAGAUCAUCCAAUCUCCUAUUACCUCUUUACUUCCUAUAGUUUCAACAGCAGUAACCGUUAAAUUGGAUGACACAAAUUACCUCAUCUGGAACUUUCAAAUGCAAAUUCUACUGGAGAGUCAUGGUAUUUUAGGAUUUGUUGAUGGAUCAACAAAGUGUCCACAUUGGUUUGAUGCAGCCUCUGAUGUUGAAGGUGCUGAAACUGAUGAUUACAAAAUUUGGAAAAUGCAUGAUCGGGCAUUGAUGCAGUUGAUUAUUGCUACCCUCUCUUCAACUGCAAUCUCUUACGUUAUUGGAUGUGUUAGCUCUCAUGACAUGUGGAUUCAACUGAAGGAUAGAUUUUCCACAAUCUCCAAGGCACGAAUUUUUCAGAUGAAAAGUGAGCUUCAAACCAUCAAGAAAGGCUCCGAUACUGUGACUCAAUAUUUGCAGAAAAUCAAAGAUGCUCGGGAUCAUCUUUCUACAGCAGGGGUUUAUUUUGAAGAUGAUGACAUUGUCAUCUUAGCUCUCAAUGGUCUUCCUUCUGAUUAUAACACCUUUCGGUGUAUGGUUCGCGGCCGAGACAACGUGUUAUCUCUUAAAGAUUUUCGGUCUCAAUUGCUAGCUGAAGAAGCUACUCUUGAGCAAACUUAUUCUGCUGCUUCGUUUGUUCCUGCAAUGAUGGCUCAACAUCAAGUAUCUCCUGGCAAAGCUCUUGUUCUUGAUGAAGGUAACUCUCAUUCUCAUCCUUCAAGCUCCAAGUCUGCUCCACCUCCUGGUUUCCAUGGAGGAUUUAAUGGUCAUAACAGUGGAUUUCAUGGUUCCAAUGGUGGAUACUUUGGCAAUCGGGGGUCUCACUUUAAGGGACGUGGCAAAGGACGUCAUCAGUAUCAGUUCAGUCCACGUCCUUAUCAGGUUCCACCUACGUCUCACCCUGGUAUUCUUGGUCCUGACAUUGACAUUCCUACAUGUAAAAUUUGCACUAAGAAAGGUCAUGUAGCUGCUGAUUGCUAUCAGCGUCACACUCUGCCUCCUAAUUCUGCCUCUUCCAUUCAAUGUCAAAUUUGUUGGAAAUUUGGGCACACUGUUGUUCAGUGUUAUCAUCGAGGUAAUUUCAGCUAUCAAGGUCGGCCUCCCUCCAGUAAUCUUAGUGCUAUGCAUGCUGUGUUCCCACCUCCUUCUCCUCCAGAACAAUUUUGGGUGGCUGAUACUGGCGCCACCACACAUAUGACCUCUGAUUUGGCUCAACUUAAUCUGGCUGCACCUUUCUCAGGAGCUGAUACUGUUACCACUGUAGGAGGUUCAGGUUUGACCAUUUCUAAUAUUGGUUCCUCUAUUCUGGAUGUUCCUCAUUGCUCCUUACAAUUAAAGCAAGUUUUGCAUGUGCCAAAACUCUCUCAACACUUGUUAUCGGUUCAUAAGCUGUGCAAAGAUAACAACUAUCGUUUUAUUUGUGAUGCUUUUGGUUUUUGGAUUCAGGACAAAAUCACAGGGAAUGUUCUCCUCAAGGGACUGUGUAGAGCUGGGUUAUAUCCUAUUCCUUUCUCUUUUUCGUUUCCUUCACAAUCUCUCUUUCCAAAUAAUCUGGUUUAUUAUCUUGGUAAACAGGUCAACACAAGUCUUUGGCACAAGCGUUUUGGUCAUCCUUCUAACACAGUCACCUCUGCUAUGUUAAAACAAUCCCAGAUUUCUUUCACCUUAGACACAUCCAAACUUGUUUGUACCACUUGUUUAGAAGGUAAACUUGCCAAACUUCCUUUUCCUUAUCCGGCAGUUAAAUCUGUUAAACCUUUAGAGGUCAUUCAUAGUGAUGUUUGGGGGCCUUCUCCCACUGUAUCUGUUGAAGGUUUCAGAUAUUAUGUUAGCUUCAUUGAUGAAUGUACUCGAUUUACUUGGAUUUUUCCAAUGAUCAAUAAAGGAGAGGUUUAUUCCAUUUUUGUUUACUUUCAUACCUUCUUAGUUACUCAAUUCUCUGCUACUCUUCGAGUCUUUCAGAGUGAUAGGGGUGGUGAGUAUCUUAGUAAUAAAUUCAAACAUUACCUCCUUACCAAGGGUAUUAUCCAUCAAAUGUCUUGUCCCUACACUCCGGAACAAAAUGGCCUUGCUGAGCGUAAACAUCGGCAUAUCUUAGAAACAACCAUCACUCUAUUACAAACUGCCCAUUUACCUCCGAAAUUUUGGUUUCAUGCUUGUGCUACUUCCAUUUAUUUGAUUAAUAGAAUGCCCUGUCAAAUUCUUCAACACAACUCACCAUAUUUCCUGCUCUAUGGUUCUCCACCGGUUGUUCAUCAUUUGCGAAUUUUUGGUUGUGCUUGUUUUUCUUUACUCAAGCCUUAUAAUUCUAACAAGCUUCAGCCCAAGACUUCCACUUGUAUUUUUCUGGGGUAUGCAGGUCAGUAUAAGGGGUAUCUUUGUUUUUCUAUUCGCACAAAUCGUCUCUUUGUCACUAGACAUGUUCUAUUUGAUGAAUCCAUGUUUCCUUACUCAUAUGUGCUUCUUGUAUCCCCUUCCACUUCCUCAUCCCCUUGUCUACAUCCCACUAUGUUCCCUCUUAUUUCUCCUCCUACUCCAGCGGCUGUAUCUCAGCCUCUACUGUCUUCCAGUUCCUCUUCUCCGUCUGCACUAUCUCACAGUUCCUCCUCACAGCCUACAAUGUCUCCGCCUCUGCCCAUUCUGUCAUCUACACAGUCCCAUCUCCCUGUUGAUCCUGACUUCCAGCCUGAGAAUCUAUGUGUGGUCUUACCUCUUUCACCACUAAAUCUUCAUCCCAUGACCACCAGGUCUAAGAAUGGUAUCUCCAAAAGAAGGGCUUACUCUGCCUCUGUCCAGUUUGUUGCUUCUUCUCAGGUUGAACCCCAUUCCUUCAAGGCUGCUUCCACCAUUCCUGAAUGGCAGUCUGCUAUGCGGGAGGAGCUUGAUGCUCUUCAUGCCCAAGGUACUUGGGACUUGGUGCCUCUCCCACCUGCCAAGAAUCUGGUUGGCUGUAAAUGGGUUUACAGAAUAAAAAAGAAUACGGAUGGUUCUAUCGCUAGGCAUAAAGCUCGGUUGGUGGCCAAGGGUUUCAGUCAAGAGGAAGGUAUUGACUAUAAUGAAACCUUUAGUCCUGUCGUGAAACCUACUACGGUUCGUUUGGUCCUUGCUCUUGCAGCUUAGUUUAACUGGUCUUUACGGCAGCUUGACGUUACCAAUGCCUUUUUGCAUGGUCUUCUGCAUGAGGAGGUUUAUAUGACUCAGCCCCAAGGUUUUGUGAGUAAGCUUCAUCCUUCUGACUUUGUUUGCAGACUCAAGAAGUCGUUAUAUGGCCUUAAACAGGCUCCCCGUGCCUGGAAUGAACGCUUUACCAGUUUUUUACCAAGUUUGGGGUUUCAAGCAUCUCCUGCCGAUCCCUCUUUGUUUGUUCAGCAUUCUUCUCUUGGUGUUGUGAUUUUGCUACUCUAUGUUGAUGAUAUCAUACUUACUGGUAGUCAUGCUUCUCUUCUUUCUUCAGUCAUUGCUGCCUUGACUCAGGAAUUUGAUAUGAAGGAUCUCGGCGGGUUGCAUUAUUUUUUGGGACUGCAGAUCUCUUAUCUCCCUUCCGGUUUGUUUGUGUCCCAGACAGGUUACAUCACUGACUUACUUGGUAGAGUUGAUUUACAGCAUUCCAAAUCUUGUGAUACUCCUUGUCUUCCUCAUCAUCAUUUGCUUAAAGAUGAUGGACAGCCCUACUCUCAUCCUCAACAGUAUCGCAGCAUCGUUGGGGCCUUGCAGUAUCUCACGUUCACAAGGCCUGAUAUUGCCUUCUCUGUGAACCAAGCUUGCCAAUUUAUGCAUAAUCCCAUGCAUUCUCAUGUUGUUGCUGUCAAACGGAUCUUGCGGUAUCUUAAAGGUACCCUUGAUGUUGGUCUUCAUUUUCAGGCUGGUCCUCUUAAUCUCCAAGCUUAUAGUGAUGCUGACUGGGCCGGUGAUCCCAAUGACCGAUGUUCUGUCUCUGGCUCUAUUGUCUUCCUCGGCUCCAGUCCUAUUUCUUGGGCUUCUAAGAAACAACAUACUGUUUCUCGAUCCUCCACUGAGGCUGAGUAUCGCGCUCUCGCGAUUGCUGCUGCUGAACUUGCCUGGAUUCGUCAGCUUCUCUGUGACAUUCACAUUCCUUUACAUAUCCCUCCGAUCAUUCAUUGUGAUAAUAUCUCUGCUAUUUCCCUUGCUUCCAAUCCUGUUUUCCAUUCCAGAAUGAAGCAUCUCCAAAUUGAUUAUCAUUUUGUUCGCGAACGUGUUAUCAAAGGUGAUUUGUUGGUUCAACAUGUCUCUUCUGCUGAUCAAUUUGCCGAUAUUCUCACUAAAGGCCUUUCCACUCCUUUAUUUCGGCAUCAUUGUUCCAAUCUCAUGCUUGGUUCCUCCAAGCAUAUGAUUGUGGGGGAAUGUCAAGAUAUCAAAUGCUCUGCUUCAGCCACCUCUGCUUCAGCCACCUGUCAAAGAGAAUAGAGAAUAUAAUGGUUAGCAAGUUUGUUAAUAUGGUUAGGCAGUUAAUGAAUUCUGUUACAAUUGAGUAGAAAACGUAACCAAGCUUCUCAUCUUCUGUUGAUAUAAAAUGCAUGUAACAGUGCUGGGAACGUAUCAAGUGAAUAAAACACAUAGACAUUUUCUUCUUUCUCUGCAUUACAGCAGCAUCUUUCCCUACUUCUAUUUUGCUUCUUGUUCAUCUCUGUAACAAAUCUUGCUAGCUUUCAAAUUGUGCCUAGAGAAUGGUAAUUUGCACAAUUGGAAUUGCGCAUAUGACCCUCAUAUAUAUAUAUAUAUAUAUAUAUAUAUAUAUAUAUAUAUAUAUAUAUAUAGCUUUGAUCCCAUAUUGCACGAAUCGGGAACCGUCUGCAUAUACAUUCCAUUGGAUAUUCAUUCAACACCUCAAUGCUGCAAGCAAUUUAACUGUUAAAUACACAAAUGUCGAGAGAGCAUGUGCUGGCCGUUAGCUGGGGAGGAGGGCGUUUGGAGAGAUGGAAUUUUAAUAGUGAUGAAAUAGCAGCUCAUGAGGAAGUUUCCGUUUGUCGCAAGGAGAGAAAGCAACCCACACAAAUGAAUAAGCAAAUAAAAUCAGAAGCAAGAAAGUCGCCGUGGUUAAUGGAAGUCAGGGACGGGAACAGUGCAUAGCAACUCGUCGUAAUACAAUAUUUAAGAAAAAAAUAGCAUGGUGAAGAAAUAAGGUCGCUGUCAAUCUGCUCAACGCAUCAAUUAACUCUUAGCUAGAACGUUGAAUUUCGGUGUUCUUGAUGUAACAAUUAGCCAAUGGGCUCUCUCCAUGCCUCUGCUGUGCGAGAGAGACUGGUAGACCUAGCAAUAAAUGACUUAGUCAACAAUGGCAAGGAUUCCGGAAUAAAGUAUAUAUAAAGUAUCCAGAGCCAGGCCAAAUUAGUUUUGAAGCCUGCGUUGAUAGAACCCAGCAAGAUUUAUUUCUUUUAGGAAAAAAGAAAAGGGGAACUCUUCAAACAAGAUGUUUUCUAGAAAUAUUGCAUAUAAUAAUCGUUCGUUGAUUGCAUAAUAAUCAACACAAAUGAUCGGUGACAUAAAGAUGGUAUAUAUUCCGUCUGGUCUCUUUUUUCUCUUCUUUUUUUGUUUAUCAAAGAGAUGUCCUUCUCGAGGAACAGAUCAAACACAAUUAUUUCUUUCAUCACAAGUUUUUUGAGCUAUGGAUGAGAAAUCGGAGUUCUUAGAAAUUAACGAUAAAUUUAUUUUAAAAAAUAAUAUAAAUCUGAGAAGUCGUGCCAGUUGCACCGAUCCUUGUUGUGCAGCAAUUUAAAAAAAAAAAACAAAUUUGUAUUAAAGGGAGUGUUAUUGACGCAACCUUUCAAGAAAUUUUUUUUUUUAAAUUUUUUAUUUACUGGUUGCCGAUUCAUAUGUUUUUAUUCUAAUUUGCAACGAUUCACCACGCGUAAUAAAAAUUUAAUUUAGGAAGAGAGAUUACCUGGAACUUAAUAAGAGAUUUUUUAUUAAUAUUGAGGCCCAUUUAUAAUUUUUCUUGUAGUCUGUUUGGGAAUAUGGUUGCAGUUGUUUUUUAAAGUGUUUUUCAUAUUGAAAUGCAUUAAAAUAAUUUUUUUUUAUUUUUUAAAAAUUAUUUUUAAAAUUAACACAUAAAAACUAUCCAAAAUACACAAAAAAAUUAAUUUUUAAUAAAAAAUAAUUGAAUUUUAAAAAACACGGUUUGCACCGCAUUCUCAGAUGGAAUCAUAAUAAUUAAAAAAAAAAAAAACCGUGAAUAGCUUUUCAACCAUGAUUAAAUUAUUUUUUAUUUUGAGUAGAGAGUCAAAUAAGCCUUUUUCAAUAUAUAUAAAAAAUUAUUUCUUUAUCAAGCUCUUAGUUAGAAUCUCUUUUCAAAUUAAAUUCUUAUUGCAUGUGGGGGUGAUACGAAGCAGUGUAAAUUAUUGAAUAUUUAGCAUACAAAUAUAAAAAUUAUUUUUUUGAAAGAUUGCACCUCUCUGAAUGACACAAACGUUUUUACAAAAUCUUGAUGCCCCAUCGAAAUUAGCGUGACUUUGAUUAAAAAAAAUUAAAAAAAAUAUGUUACAUCAUUGGAAGUGACACUACCUUUUAGAAUAUGCUAUAUUUUCAUUUUGUUUUGCCAAUAUGCUAUUUUCUUAAAUAAAUUUGCUAACCGUGCUAUUUUUUUUUAAAAAUAUAUCUAUAAAAUCGAUAGAAGUGCCAUGACAUUCUUGCUUAAAUUAGAAAGAAUAUAAUAAAUAGAGGUGAUUAUUUUUGAUUCGUUCAGUUUUUAUAUAAAAAAAAAUAACUAAAUAAAAAAAAAAUUUAAAAAUCAAAACCGGUUCAAACCGACUGGUUUCGGUUCUGUUCGGUUUAGGAUAAAAACCGGUUCAAACCGGUUUGGCUCGGUUUUCUCGGUUUUGGAUCGGUUUGUUUCCGGUUUGGCUCGGUUUGUUUUUCCGGUUCGCCUCUGUUUUUCCGGGUUUGGCUCGGAAAAUUGGUUUUUCCGGUUUGACUCGGUUUUUGCUCUGUUUUCCGGUUUAGCUCGGUUUUUUUCCGGUUUUUUUGGUUUGGGUUCGGUUUGGUUCGGUUUUUUUCCUUAUAAAACCGAACCGGCCGGUUUUUAAAAAAAAAAUCGGUUUUUUUUACAGUUCGGUUUUUUCAGUUAUUUUUUUCUAGUGUUUUUGGUUUAAUCAGUUUUUUUCCUCACCCUAAAGAAGGGCUUUAAAAUUCUAACCAGACAGAAAAUAAACUGAGUCAUUUAUGAGAAGGACCUAGUUAUUCAUGGAUAUUUUUAUCUUCUAGAAGAAACUUGUUAGUCAUUAAUUAAUCAAUAAAUUAACAAGGGUAUCAGGAUAAUUUGACCUUAACACAGUUAAUGAAGGUUAUAUGGAGUAAUUAAAUUAAGAUUAAAGAAUUGGUUUUGAUUAAGGAUGGAGUAGGGUGGGGAGGUUAGACUAGUGGCAUUGAAUGAAGGUAAUAUCUAAUUAAUUACUCGUUCAAAUUUGAUGAGAUCAUGGACAUAAAAACAUGAAAUCUUAGUUAAUGGAGGUAAGACUAGUUUUUUUUCCGUAUUUUUUUCUUUUCUUUUGUUUUUCUAAAUCUUUUUUUUUUCUGUUUCAUCUAUAUAUUAUUCUAGCUAUUGAUUUUAUGGUCUUUUUAGUAUAGUUUCAAUGAUUAUUCAAAACAAGAAACCUCAUUAUAUCUCUCUUUUCCUUCAAUGAAGCGAAAGAAAGAUCAAGUACGCUCCAAAAUAAAACUUUCCCUUGAUUGUAGAGGGAGCACAUUUAUUUUCUAUGGCUGUGUACAUUGUGAACUUGAACUUGGGAGUAGUAAAUGAUCAAUUCUAUAAUCGGCCUUAAUUCAAUAAUUGUUAUGGAGCCCAAGAUUUCAAAAACAAUUUCUGUCUCAAUCCAAGUACUUAAUCAUAUAUUAAAGUUUUGUCUGAAGCCUCAAAAAAAAAAAACUAUAAAAUAUGUUUAAUUAGAUGGUUGUUGGGAAAAAAAUAAAAAAUAAAAGGCUAAACAAAAAACAAGAGGAGAAAUGUUAUAAUAUACUAGGGCAAAAAAUGAAGCGUGUUGAUUGGUGGAGCUCCAAUCAAGACAUGGGUUUGGAAUAAUCAAAGCUAGAGGAAGGAAGGGUCGUCAUCAAAUUGCAAUAGAAAACUAAGUUUUGGAUUAUAUUCACAUUAGCUUGCACAACCUCAAUAAUGUAAAUAUCAGAAGCGCAUCUGUCAACAUGGCGGCCAAUUUUUAAAAGGGCUAUCACCUCUCUUUCUCCACCUUCUCCCCCAUUUAUUUUUUCUCUUCAAAUCACCAUCUAAACCCAAUCUCUCUCUCUCUCUCUUCCUUCUUGUUCUCCUCUAUGGUCAUCAUCUUUGCCGGCAUCUGAAUAUCCUCGGUGAUUAAGGGCAUCCAGUAAGUACAGAAAUCAGCUCUCUUGCGGCGGCUGCAAAUUAAGAGCAACAAUGGACAGGAGGUUCAACAUCAACCCUCUGAUCACUGAGCAAGAAGAAAAUGACAAUAGUGCUCAGGAAAGCGGUCCAGAAUCACCUCCUUCUAACGAUAUGAAGAUGCCUUCUACUUCCUCUCCCAAACGAAGGUACUUAAUCUUUACAUAUCCCAUUCAUUAGAAUUAUUCAGAAGAAUUUCGCAGAGUUAGAGAUCAUGGUGUAUGUGUGCUUAGUUGGAGAGAGAAAGAGAGGAAGAAAUGGCAUGUCCGUGGUUGUUUUAUAAGCAUGCACGAUAGAUAUUCGCGCUGAAAACGAAAUAUUUGACCUAAUGGUGUUUGUAUCAGUAAGAAGGCCAUGCAAAAAAGAGUUGUCUCAGUGCCAAUCAAGGACUUAGAAGGCUCAAGGCUGAAGGGCGAAAAUGCUUCACCGCCGUCUGAUUCUUGGGCUUGGAGAAAGUAUGGCCAAAAGCCAAUCAAAGGCUCACCUUACCCCAGGUAACCCUUCCCUCUUCUUCCAAAUCCGAUCACACACAUCUUUCCUUUUUCUUUCAUUGAAGUCUAUCUUGUUUAAAUGCAUUUGGACUGAUUCUUUCUGUUCCAGAAAAAGAAUGAAUGAAAACUCAUCGUAAAAAAAUUAUAGCGACGGAAAUUAUGCUUCCAGAGCAUUUCUUUACUGUAAAUAUAUGUGAUUAGUUGCUGAAUUAUGCAAAUAAAUUUGAUCAAUAUCUUUCAAAUAUAAAAACUGAACUCUAUACAAAUCCAUUCUCUGGCGGCAGUUUCUUCGUUGCCAUAGAUAAUAAGUGGCGAGUUUUUUCAUCGCCACAGAUCUUGCAGGCAUGGUCUUGUAAAUCAAGACAUUGUCCAGACUGCUUUCUGAUUUUGAGCUCUUUUUUUUUUAAUGCGUUNNNNNNNNNNNNNNNNNNNNNNNNNNNNNNNNNNNNNNNNNNNNNNNNNNNNNNNNNNNNNNNNNNNNNNNNNNNNNNNNNNNNNNNNNNNNNNNNNNNNUCCAUGGGUUUUUCUGAUUUUUCCUACUGUCUUUCUCUGUCAGCAAACCCUUUUUUUUAUUACAGUUUUUUAUGAAAAAAUUCAUGAUCAAUUUCUAAAAAUUUUCUAAGAAAAGAAAAAUUCAAACAAAAGAGAACCAAAGUAUAAAAUAAGAAGAAAUUACAUGGCCAAUCUCAAAUUCACGGAAAAAACAAUACUUUUUAUUCACAUAUAUUUCUUUUUCUAAUUUUUCAGUUCCUAUAGUUUUUGAAAUUUUAGUUUUGGUCUAAAAAUUUAUUUUAUUUAUUUUUUAUUUCUUGAAUACGAGAGGGGAUCAAGAGAGAAAGUCACUGGAUUAUGAAAAAAGAGAAAGAAAGUCAUCGAUUGGCUAUAUUCCACAAAUAAAAAAGGUUGAUCUUAUUAUCAAAGGAUUUCGUUUGAUGACAAGAACCCAUUAAGGUGUUUUUGAACCUUCAUCUUGCAUAAAAAAAAGUAGAUUGUAGUCGGUAUAAAGUUUUUUUUAUUGGUUUGAUUUUGUGUUUUUGGACCAUUUUUUGGGUUUGUUAAGUUGAUAAAUUGAUUUUUUUAUGUACUAAAGGAGUUUAUUAGGUGAAAAUAGGUUGAAAAUAGAUUUUUAGAGCAAACAAGCCCCUUGAUUUUCCAACAAUCACUGUUAUGAUUGGAAUUUAAUCAAGCAUACGAUGUGUUAUCUGUCACAACAAAAGACAUGUUGUUUCCUUUAUUCUUUAAUAAAAAAAAGAAAAAAAAUUAAAAAGGUCUAGGUACGCAUGCAAGCCUAUUUAUCUGAGCUUUGUUUUAAAGGCUUGGGUUCAUUGGGCCACCCAGGCCCACACACAAGGUUUUUUUUAGUUUUUUAUUAUAUGUUUAUUUUCUAAUUUCAUCCUUUAACAUUUGAUUGAUUUUGAUUUAGUCUUCAUAAUUUAUUUCAGUUUGUUUUUUAUGGGGCUAUCAUGAUCUGAAAUAAACAUUCCGAUAUUUGGUUAGUGCUCAAUCUUGCAAGCGUUUAUUUUUUUUAUCUUAUAAUUAAAUAAAAAAAAGUUCUAUAAAAAAAAUAUGUUAAACCCAAUAGAGUUUAUGACCUGGAUCAUGGAUUUGGUUGGUUAAGCUGCAAAACCUGUCAAUCCAAUAUGUUAUCGUCUUAAUAUAUUAAGGAAACAAAAUGUCAUCUUGAAUUUUUUUAAUGGUCAGACCAUGUUUUUGCAUGUCUUUCAGGUUAUCUUUGGAUCUGUCAAGUUGGUUGUGUCACGUCGGGGCAACUCCUACACAGUUGAAUUUGAAGCUCAGGCUAGGUAAGGAGUAUGGUUGGGAUGUUACAAGGUUGACCCUAUUGCGUUGAGUGUAAUGACAUUGACAAAGAGUUAUGUAUGGCUUAGAUAUUUUUUUAUGUUCAUAAUAAUUUUAGUCUAACUUGUAGCAUAGGGUGGAUUGGUCAUCUAGUUUCUCUUACUCCGUUAAAGACAAGUUGUACGUGAUUUAAAUAAAAAAUUCUUAAGACUUAUAUUUCUUGUGACCUACAACGAUGUGCGACAACAAAUAAAAGAAUAUAACGUACUUGAUUAAGUCCAAUUCAUUUAACUAUGUGUUUGGUAAAAAUGUGUAAAGUGCUUUUCAAUUUAAAAUGUAUCAAAAUGAUUUUUUUUAGUUUUUUAUUAACAUGUCAAAAUUCUUAAAAAAAAAACCCUAAAAAACAACAAAUUUGAUGUAUUUUCAGACAAAAAAACAAUUUGAAAAAAAGGUUGAACCACAAAAAUAAACACCUGAUUUUGAUUUAAAAAAUAAAAAUAAUUUAAUUAUUGAAAUUUUAUUACAAUUAACAUUAACAAAAAAACAAAAACUAAAAGAGGAGGGGGUUUUAUUGUACCUCUCUUCAGAAAUCAUUAUUCAUUGGAAUAAUGAUUUGUUACCUUCAUUUGGUUUCUUUUUUUCAAUUAAUAUGUUUUUAUUUAAUUCAAUUUCAUCAUUCAAUAUUAGGUUUAUUGAUGGAUUGAACUUUAUAAUUUUUCUCAUUUACUUUUUACGAGGUUAUCCCAGUCUCAUGACUCAAAUCGCAAAUUUGAUAGGUUAAAUCGAUUUACUUGAGUUUUUUUUCCCUUUACCUAAUUGAUUUUUUUUCUUAAUUUCAUCUUUCAACAUUGAGUUUCUUAGAAAUUAGGCUUCAUGUUUUUUCUUAUUUGCUUUCUAUGAGAUUAUCUCUAUCUUAUGACUCGAGUCAUGAGUUUGGUGUGUUAACAGGGAUUGACUCUAGUUAUUUUUCAUGUUUUUUUGUAAUAGAUUUUUUAAUUUCAAUUUCAUUCUUCACCAUUAGGUUUAUUAGGGAUUAGACUUCAUAAUUGUUUUUAAUUUAUAUUUAUGAGGUUAUCAUAAUCUCAUGACCCGAUCCACGAGUUUGAUGAGUUUACUCAGUUGACUCGAUAUUUUUUCCUUUUCCUAAUUAACUUUUUUCUCUCAAUUUCAUCUUUCAACAUUGGAUUGAUUGAAAAUUAGGCUUCGUGAUUUGUUUUAGUUUGCUUUCUAAGAGGUUAUUUCCAUCUCAUGACUCGGGUCACGAGUAAUAGAUUAACCCUAGUUUACUUAAGUUGUUUUUCGUAUCUUUUUUUUUAAUCAAUGUUUUUUUCAAUUUCAUUUUUUACACUGAAUUGAUUGAAAAUUAGAAUUCAUAAUUUAUUUCAAUUUUCUUUUUAUUAGGAGAUAACUCAAAUUGACUCGGGUCAUUUUUUUCUAUUUUUUUUUUAUUUUCAAUUUCAUCAUUCAACAUUAGAUUUAUUGGAAAUUAGAUUUCAUAAUUUGUUUUGAUUUACAUUCUAUGGGGUUAUCAUAGCCUCAUGACCCAACAUGUGAAUUGGUAUGUUAAUCUAGGUUGAUUUAACUCCAUCCGAUAUAUUAUCGUCUCAAUAUUUAUAAAAAAACUAUCAUCUUGAAUAUUUAUUUUGAGUCAAACUACUUUUUUACCGAUUAUCUAGGUUGUUUUUGAACUCGUCUAGUCAACCAGGUCAUAUUGAAACAAUCCCCGCAUGGUUUAAAAUAUUGUUUCCUACUAGAAAAAAUAUUAGCAAUGCCUAAGCAUUUUUAAUGUUAAUUUUUUUUUAAUCCGAUCAGUAACCGAUGAUCUAGUAUAUAUUAAAAUUCUUAUGUAAACUACUGUAGCAAUCCAUGGUCACUCAAUUUUUUUAUAUAUAAUUUUUCCCUUCAAUAUUUUUUUCAAUUGCAUUCCUCUAUGCCCAAAUUAAAGAUCGAUUUAAUCAAAUUUGUUAACGACAACAAGAAUUCAACAAAAGAGGACCAAAGUAUAAAAUAAGGAGAAAUUUCAUAGCUAAUCUCAAAAGAGGACCAAAGUAGUCCACCUAUUUUUCCUUUUCUUACUCUUCAGUCCCUUUAGUUUAUGCAAUUUUAAUUUUUAUCUAACAAUUCAUUUUCAUAACAAUACAGUUGCUGAGUUUGAGAGAGAAGUGAAAAAGUCGCUUGGAAAUGACAAGGAGAUAGAAAGUUAGCGAAUGACCAUUUUCAGCGAGGAAACUCACCAUUUUUUCUAUUUACAAAGUAUAUUCGACGAGUGGAGUCAAUGGUGGUGUUUGUUUUUCAAUAACAUNNNNNNNNNNNNNNNNNNNNNNNNNNNNNNNNNNNNNNNNNNNNNNNNNNNNNNNNNNNNNNNNNNNNNNNNNNNNNNNNNNNNNNNNNNNNNNNNNNNNGGGGGUACGUAAGUGAUUUAUGAGGUUUAUAUGGUGUUUUAUUAAGUGUUUUGGGUUAAAAAAUAUACUAAACAAAGAACUUGACACCCCUUUCCCCCCCUCCUAAUGAUUUAUUGACCACCACAAUCGUAGCUAGAUUUUGAACAGGAAGUCCAAGUAACAAGUCAUUUGCCACUACAAGUAACUUAUUGCCUAUUUAAUUAAAAAAAAAAAAAAAAGAGCAGACGACAUCUACUCUUGAGGCAAAUGUUUUUUUAAAAAGGCAUGCCCUAGGUUUUGAGGUUGAGGGGCCCAGACACACAUGGUCUUUCCUAUUAUUGUCUAUUUUUUUUUGUUUUUGUUAUUUUAUCCCUUUCCAUCAAUUAUUUCUAUUAAAUUAGCUUUGAUUUUAAAUAAUUAUUGAUUAUACAUAUACAUGUUUAUUUUAUAUAUUUUUUUAAAAAUUAAAUAAUAUUUUUGUUGAUCAUUCAAAUGAUUGCCGGCCGAAACCAAAAUGUCAAAUAACAACCAAAAAGAUUUGACUUUUUCGUAAGGGAUAUAGCUAAGCUGGAUGAUCUCCCACCAGCAGCCUCCUUCUGUGCUUUGUACUUAUCACCCAUACAACUUGUCUUCUAUUUUGGGUCGUCACACUUGAUCAGACCCUUCUACGAUUCCUUGCUUUUUUUUUUAAUGUUUUUUACAUACACCAAGCAUGUGGGUGUAUAAUCCAAUUAUGAAUCUAUUGUUGUGAUUGUUUGUUUAGAGUGUUUUUUAAUUAUUAUUUUUAUAAAACAAUAAAUUAAUGCUUCAUUAAAUAAAAUAAAAUAAAAAACAAUUCAUUUUGUGGGCACCUUAUAUUUUUUUUACCUAUCUUUUAGUUUAUUAUUUUAAAUUUUUUUCUACAAACUUUUAAAAUAUUCUUUUUUUACUAGAAGGUGUGUUUACAAUAGUUAUUUUUCUUAAUAGUUAUAAUAGAGUUUUUGAUAGAUAAAUAUUUCCAACACAAUGUUUAUUAGCAGAGAUACAUCUAAUUGGUUUUAUUUUGUUUUUAGAAGAAAUUAUUUUUGUAUAGUAGAGUUUACAGGUAUUAAUUAUAAAAAAACCUUAUUUAUUAUUAAUAAAUAUUUUAUUUCAUUGAAAGUAUAGAUGCACGUGAUUUUAAUCCUAUCUUAUUUCAAACAUAAUUAUUUUUACUUGUAGAGUUUGUAUAACAGCAAAACAUUUAUUUUCUUAUAAAAAUAAAGUUUGAUUUAUUUUUUUAAAUUUAAAUUUUAAAUUUGCCUCUGCCAAAUUUUUUUUUUUAAGUCACAGAUUCUCUAGGUUGUUCUAUUUUUUUUACUGUGCAAUUAAAAAAAACUUCAUGCUAGCAUUUAAAUAACAAUACUAUAAUAAUUUUGAAAAUAAAAUUAAUGCGACCCCACAAGUGGUGCAAAAGUAAAAGAGGUAGGGUAUAUUUAGGAGUGUGGUUGUGGUUAUUUUUUAAAAUGUUUUUUAUGCUGAAAUGCAUUAAAAUAAUAUUUUUUUUUAUUUUUAAAAAAUUAUUUUGAUAUCAGCGCAUUAAAACAAUCCAAAACAUAAAAAAAAUUAUUUUUUAGCAAAAAAAUUUAAAUUUUUUUAGAAAUAUAAAUACAACCACGUUUCCAAAUAAUCAAGUAGUCAUGGCAAUGAUGAUGAUAAAAUUGUUGCAGUGGAAAUAACGAUCUUGAUAGCUUUUAAAAAAAUUAACAACAUAUUAUUAUUUGUUUUGGAAAAAAAAAAGAAGAAAAAAAGCCUACGUGACUUGAGCAUCACCAUAAAUGGCAAUUAUGAAGAAAGUGAUGGCAAUAAGAGUAGUUGAGGUAGACGCUGUAUGAGUUGUUGUCUUUAUAAUAAUGCUGGUAAUUAAUCAAUUUUUGCGCUCGCCAAAAAAAAAAGAAAAAAGAAGAAGAAACAAAAAAUAACACCCAGGCGAGCUUGGACAGCCCAAGCACGUGCUCCUAGGGCCAUAUGUUAAGUACAGACAUGUUCUGUGCAGGCUGGUUGUGAGACCCAAUUUUUUAAAAAAGAAAAAACAAAAUUCUUAGAAUACCAGCCUUCUCAUUGUACAUACUAGGGGUUAUUAUUAUUUUUUUGUUUGGUUUGGUUUUUAUUUAAAAAAAUAAUUAAACUGAAUGAAUUGAAAUCGGUUCAAACCGAUCAGUUUUGAUUCGGUUCAGUUCGGUUAUUUUAGAACAAAAACCGAAACCCAACUGAUUGGUUUUGGUUCGAUUCGGUUAUUUUAUAUUAAAAAUAAAAAAAACUAUAUUGUUUUUAGGGGUUUUUUUUUGUAAUUUUUAAUGUGUUUGGUUUCGGUUUGGUUCGGUAGGGUACAAACAUAGAACAAGGGUGACACAACCUUGUGGAGGGGAAGCUCCUCUAUCUAAUGGUAGUGGUUGAAGCCCUUGAGAUGGUCAAUGAUGCCACAUUCAUUUGUCUAAAUAUAACAACUUGAUCAACCUUUUCUACUGAAAAAUCCAACAAAUAGAGAAAAACAAUGUGUCACUCUGUUUUUUCUUUUAAAAAAAGUGACAUGUCGUCUGCUUAAACCCUAAAAAUCUGGGUUUUCUAAUUGAGAUUUUGAUAACUUUUAAAUUGGUCCUUAUUGUUUCAAAUUAAGCUCAAACAUAUUUAAUUGAGACAAAACUAAUUAAUUUCAUACAAUUAGAGCCUUUUAAAAACCAAUUAAGACCCUUUAAAUCUGGCUUUAUUUUCAAAGUAGCCAUUGAUUUCUAAUUUGUUCAAUAUAGUUUAUAAUUAAGUCUUAAACUUUGAUUUUUUUCAAUUUAAUCCCUGGAAAAUUUUAGUACAGCCCCCAGUAUUAAGGGCUUUAUGCAGAAAGGUCUUUGGUCUUGAAUUUUUUCAAUUUGACACUUAAUUGACCUUUAAACUUUGAUUUUCUUACAAUUUCACCCUUGAUUCCAUCCAAUGAAGUUUGUAAAGAUUAAAUUUGGUCCUUUAAAAUUUCAAUAUUUUCAAUUAAGCCCAAAUUAGGUUUCCAAACUUAAUUCUUUGCCAAUUAAGUCCUUAAUAAAAUUAAUGUAAUCCAUUAAAAGUUUAAUUAAGUCCUUGCACUUUAUUAAUUCUUUUAAUUUUGGCAUAAAUUAAUUUAUAAACUUAAUUAAAUAUUUAAUUAGGUAAAUGAUUAAAUCAACUUAGCUUAUUAAAAAUCUAAUUAAGUCAUCGGAUUUGAUUUUUAUACAAAUUCGUCUAACAUUCACUUAAGUUAACCUUGAAUUUGCAUAGUAUUUCACAUUUAGAUUCUUAAAGGAUGCAAUUGAGUUUCCAAUAUUGUCGAAAAUCUAGUUCGGUCCCUCCAUCUCUUAUUUAUGCAUUUAGAUCCCUCUUCAACCUAUUCUUGCCAAUGAAGUUAUUUGUCUUCCUGUAUUUUAUUUUUUCUAUUAUUUUAUAAAAGAAAAGAAUAAUUUUAAAGGAAUUCAAAAUUAAUCAGACCUCCCUUGCCUAUCUACAAUCUUGCAAGGCAUGCAAUAUAUGUUCUUGAUGAAAAGCACGGUGACAAGUCACCAUGACUAACAUUAGAGUAUUUUACUUUCCACGUGAGAAGGAAUAACCCUAACCCUAAACCUAAAACACAACCAGCCAAGAAAAGCUCAUUUUCUAAAUGAAGUCUAUCUGGUAGAAGCAGACAAAGAUAGAAUAAAAUCAUCUGCUAAUAAUGAAUGAGAAAUUGCAAUACCUCCACGGGAAACCGGGAGAGGGUUCCACAAUCCACCUACAACUCUACUAUCGAUGAGCAUAGAUAACUUCGCCAUGGGAAGAUAAACAUAUAAGGCGAAAGAAGAUCUACUUGACAUAACCAAAAUCCACCAACGUUUUCUGCAGAAAUCCCCAAGUCAACUCGAUCAUAAGCCUUCACAAGAUCAAUCUUGUAAGCUAGAAACCCUGUCCGCUUUUUAGAUUUUCGAAUAGGAUGCACCAAUUCUUAUGCUAGAAUAACAUUAUCCGCAACUCCUCUACCUACAAGAAACGACCCUUGCAUCGGGCAAAUAAGAGUAUCCAAAAAAAAGGGCGAAGCCGCUACUCUAAAACUUCGGUCAAAACUUUAUAAGAUACAUUACAAAGGUUGAUAGGGCGGAAUUGCUUCAUGUUCACUGGAUUAUCUACCUUGGGAAUAAGAACAGCACAAGUUUCCACUAAUUUAGGUGGAACACCUAGUAGAAAAUAGAUAAACCAGCUUCAAAACCGAAUCUCACACAAUAUGCCAUUACUUUCGUAUAGACUUGGAGCUUUAUAAGGCUUCAUGGAUUUCAUAGCACGAUAAAAACCUCUUUCUUUAGUAAUAGGUUUCAGGAGGCAUUCAACUAGAUCCUGAGCAAGACAUGAAUGCCCCUGUAGCUGCGGAAAAGAAAUAGUAGUGGCAUCAGCGCUACAAAAGAGAGCUCUGUAGAAAUUCAAUACCUCGAUUUCAGUUCCUUCACAUCUGAAAUCCAAGAAUCAUCUGCAUGUCUCUGCCUUUCAAUUCAAUUAUACUGCCUUCUGCAUAAGGUGGUAGCAUGAAAGAAACGGGCGCACUUAUCGCCAUACUAAAGCCAUGCACUCUAGAUUUUUAUACCAGAACAUGGAUUAUUAUCUGAGAACAUCAUUAUAUUUUUUUCACUGAGGAAUGCUCAAGUUUGGAUAAGAACUAGGAAUUAAAAGCAACAAUUGAACAUUGAGUCCCUGCAAUCAGCGCAAGCACUCUCUUUUUCCUGCAGAAGAUAUUUCCAAAGACAUCAGUAUUAAACUCAAGAGUAGCUGACUUGAUUUGAGAAAGGAUAUCAAAGAUAGGACCAAUAGUAAUUACUCAAACAUCCUUCACAACCUUGUGAAAUCCUGAUGCAUGAUCCAUACGCUGCCUGAAAAAAAGGUCCAUCAGACAUGGGAGGGGAAUACCUAUGAUAUCUGAGAAGAAAAGCAUUAUGAUCAAAGUGUAUCUGCAGCAAGUGAUGGGUAGAAGCUUCAGGAAACUACAUUCGCCAUUCUGAAUUACACAAUGCUCUAUCCAGUCUCACUAAUAUAGAAAUACAACUGAACUGUUUAUAUAUAUAUAUAUAUAUAUAAACAUGAGUCAAGUAAAUCACACUUGUCUAUAGAGGCCCUAAACUUCCUUGCUCUAGUCAAAUAGAAUUUCCCACCAAAAUUUUCUGAUUGGGAGGAAUAAUCAUAAUCACCAAUCAGGACCCAAAGUAGAGAAAUAAACCCAUGCAGUUUCACCAUUGCAUCAUAGGGUACACCUCCCUUCCAUGAGCACUCGAGCUAGUAUAAUAGCUAUAAAAUAUCGACACACCUCAUUAUACUUCACUAACAUAUGAAUGUGCUGAUGAUGAGACCUUGCAUCAAGAGAGAUAUAUAAAACCUAGGAGCGAGGCUUAUUGCAAAUGGACAAGUCUUUCUACAAGAGAAGAUAUGGUACAAAAGAUAUCACAAAUGAAAAAAAAGAAAAGAAAAGAAAAGAUGGCUCUUUCAAAAGGUAUUUUUUGAAAUGGUAUUUUUUUUAUUUGAAAUUAUUGUAGCAAAUUAAAGGGUAUUUUUAUUUAUUUGUGUUUAUCUAUUUUUUAUGAUUUGAAUCCCAUUUAAAAUUCAAUUCCAUGAGUUAAAUCAAUCUUUUUUUAGCUUGAAACCCUUCCCUUCAAAUUAGCAUUAAAAAUAAUAUUUUAUUUUAAUUUCAUCAUUCAGUAUUUGAUUGAUUGUAAAUUGAUCUUCGUAUUUUUUCAAUUUUUUUUUCUAUGAGGUUAUCCUAAUAUUAUAUCUAUAAUCGCAGGGUUAGCUGAUUAACCUAUUUUAACUCAUCUAUUUUUGUUUUUUUUGUAAAAAAAAUUGUUUUUUUAGUUUCUCCUUUAUAAAAAUUAUUUAGAUUUCAGAAUAAUAACAUAUCAUCAUCUUAUAUGGCAUCAACAAAAUUAAGAUAAAAUCAUGGAAACUCUAAAAAAAUAUAUAAAUUUACAAAACUCUAGAAUGUGGAUAUACAAAAGAUUAUAAACAAGUCUUGAAUUACAAUUAUAGCCACGCUAGGAAGUGGACAACGUGAUGAUAAAUAAUUCUAUCUUUUGCGCUUCUUUCCUAAUAACGCCACCAUUUGAAAAAUACAUUAAGGUCUGAGAUUGGUCUAAUUUUCCAUACACCAGCCAUGAUUUAGCUAAAUUAAUUAAUUUAAUUUGAAUUAAUAUGUGACAUUUUUUAUUUUAAAUGGUUAUACAAGAGUUAAUUAUAACUUAAUUCCCUUUGUUUAUUACUCGGAUCUUGUGAUUUUGAAAACUAUUAUUUUAUGCUGAUACUUUUAUAAAAUCCAUUGAAGAAAAAGAAAAGAGAAGGAUGUAAGAUUGGAAAUUUUGAUUGGAAAAGGAUGGAAAAUAAAACUACUAAAUUAAGUGUGAUCAAUGUUGAUGAAACAACCAUUCUAAUAUUGUAGAAAAAAGCAAAAGGUAUCAGAAAAACACAUUGUUCCAAGACAUAAUGAACUUUGAAUUUACAGUGUUUUCUUUUUCCUCUUUUUAUUUCAUUUUAUUCCAUAAUCUUUUUAACGUCAUCUUUCUACACUCNNNNNNNNNNNNNNNNNNNNNNNNNNNNNNNNNNNNNNNNNNNNNNNNNNNNNNNNNNNNNNNNNNNNNNNNNNNNNNNNNNNNNNNNNNNNNNNNNNNNUAUAUAUAUAUAUAUAUAUAUAUAUAUAUAUAUAUAUAUAUAUAUAUAUAUAUAUGAAACAGAAGAUGAUUGUAACAACAUGUAAUCUUCUCUUCUUUCUUUUUUUUAUCAAGAACAAGAUAGAUAAAAAAUGUUGAUCAAGAAUUUCAAGACAUUGAUAAGGUACUUCUUGUUUUAUGUUUUGUUGUUUACAGAGGCUACUAUAGGUGUAGUAGUUCAAAGGGCUGUCCAGCUAGAAAACAAGUAGAGAGGAGUAAAGUGGACCCAACAAUGCUAGUUAUCACCUACUCCUGUGAACACAACCACCCUUGGCCACCUCCUUCUAGAUCCCACAACCACCAUAAGAACCACCAUAACUCCUCCUCUCCAAAACACAACACUACCACCAAACCCGAAGUCUCCACAACCCAUCCUGAUAACCCAGAGCCUGAGCAUG